rnacentral:rRNA from 1 species
UACGAAGGGGGCUAGCGUUGCUCGGAAUCACUGGGCGUAAAGCGCACGUAGGCGGCUUGUUAAGUCAGGGGUGAAAUCCUGGAGCUCAACUCCAGAACUGCCUUUGAUACUGGCGAGCUUGAGUUCGGGAGAGGUGAGUGGAACUGCGAGUGUAGAGGUGAAAUUCGUGGAUAUUCGCAAGAACACCAGUGGCGAAGGCGGCUCACUGGCCCGAUACUGACGCUGAGGUGCGAAAGCGUGGGGAGCAAACAGG